AUUGAACGCUGGCGGCAGGCCUAACACAUGCAAGUCGAACGGCAGCGGGGGGUAGCUUGCUAUCCUGCCGGCGAGUGGCGGACGGGUGAGUAAUGCAUGGGGAGCUGCCCAGUCGAGGGGGAUAACAACUGGAAACGGUUGCUAAUACCGCAUACGCCCUAAGGGGGAAAGGUGGGGAACUUCGGUCCUACCGCGAUUGGAUGCGCCCAUGUGGGAUUAGCUAGUUGGUGAGGUAACGGCUCACCAAGGCGACGAUCUCUAGCUGGUCUGAGAGGAUGCCCAGCGCCACUGGAACUGAGACACGGUCCAGACUCCGACGGGGGGCAGCAGUGGGGAAUAUUGCACAAUGGGGGAAACCCUGAUGCAGCCAUGCCGCGUGUGUGAAGAAGGCCUUCGGGUUGUAAAGCACUUUCAGUCAGGAGGAAGGGGUGAUAGCUAAUAUCCAUCAUCAUUGACGUUACUGACAGAAGAAGCACCGGCUAACUCCGUGCCAGCAGCCGCGGUAA
rnacentral:rRNA from 1 species